rnacentral:rRNA from 1 species
UGGGAGCUCUCCCAUAUGGUCGACCUGCAGGCGGCCGCGAAUUCACUAGUGAUUAGAGUUUGAUCCUGGCUCAGAUUGAACGCUGGCGGCGUGCUUAACACAUGCAAGUCGAACGUGAAAGUCCUUCGGGGCGAGUAAAGUGGCGCACGGGUGAGUAACGCGUGGAUAAUCUACCCUUAAGAUGGGGAUAACGGCUGGAAACGGUCGCUAAUACCGAAUACGCUCCCGAUUUUAUCAUUGGGGGGAAAGAUGGCCUCUGCUUGCAAGCUAUCGCUUAAGGAUGAGUCCGCGUCCCAUUAGCUAGUUGGCGGGGUAACGGCCCACCAAGGCAACGAUGGGUAGCCGGUCUGAGAGGAUGACCGGCCACACUGGAACUGGAACACGGUCCAGACUCCUACGGGAGGCAGCAGUGGGGAAUAUUGCGCAAUGGGCGAAAGCCUGACGCAGCGACGCCGCGUGAGGGAUGAAGGUUCUCGGAUCGUAAACCUCUGUCAGGGGGGAAGAAACCCCCUCGUGUGAAUAAUGCGAGGGCUUGACGGUACCCCCAAAGGAAGCACCGGCUAACUCCGUGCCAGCAGCCGCGGUAAUACGGAGGGUGCAAGCGUUAAUCGGAAUCACUGGGCGUAAAGCGCACGUAGGCGGCUUGGUAAGUCAGGGGUGAAAUCCCACAGCCCAACUGUGGAACUGCCUUUGAUACUGCCAGGCUUGAGUACCGGAGAGGGUGGCGGAAUUCCAGGUGUAGGAGUGAAAUCCGUANAUAUCUGGAGGAACACCGGUGGCNAANGCGGCCNCCUGGACGGUAACUGACGCUGAGGUGCGAAAGCGUGGGUAGCAAAACAGGAAUUAGAUACCCUGNUAGUCCNNCGCUGUAAACGAUGGGUGCUGGGUGCUGGNNUGUA